rnacentral:rRNA from 1 species
CAUUGACGUUAUCACAGAAGAAGCACCGGCUAACUCCGUGCCAGCAGCCGCGGUAAUACGGAGGGUGCGAGCGUUAAUCGGAAUAACUGGGCGUAAAGGGCACGCAGGCGGCUAUUUAAGUGAGGUGUGAAAUCCCCGGGCUUAACCUGGGAAUUGCAUUUCAGACUGGGUAGCUAGAGUACUUUAGGGAGGGGUAGAAUUCCACGUGUAGCGGUGAAAUGCGUAGAGAUGUGGAGGAAUACCGAAGGCGAAGGCAGCCCCUUGGGAAUGUACUGACGCUCAUGUGCGAAAGCGUGGGGAGCAAACAGGAUUAGAUACCCUGGUAGUCCACGCUGUAAACGCUGUCGAUUUGGGGAUUGGGCUUUAAGCUUGGUGCCCGUAGCUAACGUGAUAAAUCGACCGCCUGGGGAGUACGGCCGCAAGGUUAAAACUCAAAUGAAUUGACGGGGGCCCGCACAAGCGGUGGAGCAUGUGGUUUAAUUCGAUGCAACGCGAAGAACCUUACCUACUCUUGACAUCCAUGGAAUCUUGUAGAGAUACGGGAGUGCCUUCGGGAACCAUGAGACAGGUGCUGCAUGGCUGUCGUCAGCUCGUGUUGUGAAAUGUUGGGUUAAGUCCCGCAACGAGCGCAACCCUUAUCCUUUGUUGCCAGCGAUUCGGUCGGGAACUCAAAGGAGACUGCCGGUGAUAAACCGGAGGAAGGUGGGGAUGACGUCAAGUCAUCAUGGCCCCUUACG